UCUCUUUAGUUAUGAAAACAAAGUUUUAAUUGUGUUUCUAAUUGUUUUUCCUAAUCCAUUUGUUUGUCUUCCACUUUGUAGGCAACACAUCAACAAUAAAACCGCGUAAGAUAUAAAUUAUAGCUUCUAAUUUUUAUACACACUGAAGAACCACCAUAAGAAUUUAUGUUGGACGAAGUCUUAUAUUUAUUUGAGAGGACAAGUUCUAAUUCUGGUUUAAUUAUGUCUGAUGUAUUUAUAAUUAGGAAUUCAAGAUUCGAAUUGCGGUUCUAAUUAUAUUUAACUACUUUCUAACUAGCACAACAUGCCGAACAAAGCCAAUUGGGCGACAGUUUUCAAUACCCUACAUUUUUUGGGGGUCUGGCAGUUGGAGCAUUUCUAAUGGCUGUCGUUGCUUUCAUCAUUCUACAUAUUUUCAAAAAGAAUAAAGGUACAGUAUCAAGAUGGUAUCAUUAUACAUUAACAGAGAACAGUUUAGAAUUUAUAGUGCUAUCCAGUAUAAAUAAAGUUAGUUUAGUUUAAGUUUCCUCCUGUAGUAACACUGGAUCAAUAAGAGAUGAUCCUUACUGGACGUCUAGGAAGAACAGUUUAGAACUGAUAGAGCUAUCCGGUGUAAAUAAAGUUAGUUUAGUUUAGGUUUCCCCCUGUAGUAACACUGGAUCAAUAAGAGAUGACUCUUACUGGACCUCUAGGAAGAACAGUUUAGAACUGAUAAAGCUACCCAGUGCGAAUAAAGUUCUAUGCAUUAUUUUUUGACCUAGGAAAUACCAAAAAUCAAAGAAUAACCCUAAUGAAAAAUCCUGAUGUGAAAAAAACUGGUGUGUGAUAUUUUUUGUUUAUUAAAUAGAUUUCAAAGCUAAUCCUAAAUCUAUCCAUCUAUUAUGAAUUAAGGGUGACAAAUGUGGCAAGCAUUUUGUCCCUUACAACUGAGUCACGCCUGUUAUUGCCUAUUGUAGGUCGAGGGUAGGGUAUUUAAUUAGGUUGGAUAACCUCCGUGUAAUAAUUUAUUAUUUAAUAUGACUGUAAUUAAUAUGACUGUAUAUUAAUACUAUUAUGAAAGCUUCGCAUUAAUAGGGGAAGAGAUUAUUUCGCUGACCUCAGAGUGACAUAACGCGGUAACAAAGCAACGGCUUUACUAACACUAACCCUA